rnacentral:misc_RNA from 1 species
UCGUAACAAGGUCUCCGUAGGUGAACCUGCGGAGGGAUCAUUACACAAUUAAAAUAUGAAGGCUUCGGCUGGAUUAUUUUUAUCACCCUUGUCUUUUGCGCACUUGUUGUUUCCUGGGCGGGUUCGCCCGCCACCAGGACCACACCAUAAACCUUUUUUAUGCAGUUGCAAUCAGCGUCAGUAUAACAAAUGUAAAUCAUUUACAACUUUCAACAACGGAUCUCUUGGUUCUGGCAUCGAUGAAGAACGCAGCGAAAUGCGAUACGUAGUGUGAAUUGCAGAAUUCAGUGAAUCAUCGAAUCUUUGAACGCACAUUGCGCCCUUUGGUAUUCCAAAGGGCAUGCCUGUUCGAGCGUCAUUUGUACCUUCAAGCUUUGCUUGGUGUUGGGCGUCUUUUUGUCUUUGGCCUCGCCCAAAGACUCGCCUUAAAACGAUUGGCAGCCGGCCUACUGGUUUCGCAGCGCAGCACAUUUUUGCGCUUGCAAUCAGCAAAAAGGACGGCAAUCCAUCAAGACUACAUUUUUACGUUUGACCUCGGAUCAGGUAGGGAUACCCGCUGAACUUAAGCAUAUCAA